AAGAAAGGAUCAAUCCGGACCCAGAGGAGUGAGAAGAUUGAAGCCAGAAGAAUGGACCAGACAAUAACAAUUGUUGGCGUCCUGUUUUGCCUUCCAACCAAACCUUUGAGGAAUGGGUAAAGAUGGACGAUCACCCAAAAUGCAAAGAAGAGCUUCCCGAAGAGGGGUCCCCAUGAUUCAUACCCGUUAUUGAUUGCAUUCGA
rnacentral:misc_RNA from 1 species